CAAAACGUAAACACAGCCAGUUGGUCCACGUCCACGCAAGGGGAUUAUCUCGUCGCUCUUAUCAUUUCUCUUAAUAGCAACGUUUCUAUGUUCGUAGGCACAGAUAUGUACAGGUUGAUACGACUCGCCCAAUUGGGAGGCCCUUUCACAUGUAAAAGUGUUUUUGUGUUGAUUUCUUUUUUUCUAAUCUUGUGCAUUGGUAGUAUACGCUUAAUUGUUGACGAAACAGUAACCGCCAUGAAAAUAGGAUGAGAAAUGAGGAAGUUACGACUUGAUUUCAGUGUCCAUGUUUUGUUACUUCUAUGGGAACGACGACCUCCCUAACAUGGCCGCCACGUAGGCAUGUCGGUUAUAGCCGGGAUGCUACAUCGCGUUGGCGUAUCUAUGUUCCUUGGUCUAUUCUCGAUGCUUCGAAGGCGACCGGGAAAUUGUUCUCGAGCCGGCAUAUUUAUUUAUUUUUCAGAAGCUUUAUUGAUCAUAUUUAAUUUACAAACAAAAACAGAUAGACAACAUAGACAUUAAUACAUAAGAUCAUACGAGAGAGGAGCUAGAAGGAUCCAUCCAUCCAUUUUCUGAACCGCUUAUCCUCACCAGAGGCUUCAUGGACAAAAGGUGCGUACGGACAAAAACGUGGCGUCCGUUCUUUUUCACCGCAAAGGUCAGAUGUAUCAAGAGUGACAUGACCGUGGAAAUGUGCGGUGCCUCACGCCAACUGCAUGGCUGGCGAAUGCACGUUUCUGCAGCUUUUGGUGCUUUGGCGACACUUAGAGGCGAUGCUGAGAAACUGUUCUCAUAAAUCUGCACACCAGAUUUAUUAGCACUGAUGAACAAUUCAUGCCCGGCAACAUUUGAUUUCAACAAUGCAAUUGAGGGCACUUCAGCAAAUAACCAGAUCAACAAAUAUUUUGCAUGUUCAGGCUCUCACAUGAGGUGUUUUGGAGACAAAGAGAGCAGACUUGGAUGGUUUGGUUUGGACAUGUCCAGAGGAGAGAGAGUGAGUAUAUUGGUAGAAGGAUGAUGAGGAGGGAGCUGAAGACCUAGAAGAGAACUAGAAGAAGACCAGAGAGAAUAUUGAUAGAUGUUGUGGUAAAGAAGGAGCUAAGCCGAAAGGCGAAGCUCUCGAUUUACCGGUCCAUCUACGUUCCUACCCUCACCUAUGGUCACAAGCUGUGGGUCGUGACCGAAAGAACGAGAUCCCGGAUACAAGCGGCCGAAAUGGGUUUUCUCCGCAGGGUGUCCGGGCGCUCCCUUAGAGAUAGGGUGAGAAGCUCGGUCAUCCGGGAGGAUCUCAGAGUAGAGCCGUUGCUCCUUCACAUCGAGAGGAGCCAGAUGAGGUGGCUGGGGCAUCUGAUUCGGAUGCCUCCCGGACGCCUCCCUGGUGAGGUGUUCCGGGCUCGUCCCACCGGGAAGAGACCCCAGGACACACUGGAGAGACUACAUCCUUCGGCUGGCCUGGGAACACCUCGGGAUCCCCCCGGAAGAGAUGAAUGAAGUGGCUGGGGAAAGGGAAGUCUGGGCGUCCCUGCUAAAGUUAAUGCCCCCGCGACCUGACCUCGGAUAAGCGGUAGAAGAUGGAUGGAUGGAUGGAUGGAAGUAGAAGCCCAUCUGGGGACUGCAUGACCUCAUACUCCCAUAAUGGCAAAAAUAUUUCUUGCCGUAAUUUCUCCCACAAUCCUAUCUAGUGACUCUACCAACCCCGCUGACUAGGGAGACUCUGACUCUAAGUAAAACUUAACCAUCCUUAUACUGAAAACUCCUAAAUAUAUGUACUGUAUAGCCUUUACCAUUUAUUUCUCUUCAAGGGCAGGUGACCUGCUUAAUACCAAUUACCUCAAGUGUGUCCCCACCAUUUUCCGAUGAGCCACUGAGCACCGACCGACUCCGACCUCAGCCACACAGCAUCCUUGAUGGCUUCUAGUCGUGUCCACUUUGUCCCCCACUGAAACAGACUUUCAUCACAUUAUUCCAAUCCACUUGGUAAACGUUGAGACACAGGACCAUUCAGCUCCUCUUUUUUCUUUCCUUCCAGCUUUCACCGUCUCCACCACAAAGUCCUUUCAUUGGCUCUCUUUCUGUCAUGAGAAACAUCAUUCAUAUAGAUGCAGUCAUCAGGUUGAAGAGUCUCUCUCAGUAACUCAUGACAAAUAUUAACAGUUGCGCCCCCUUUCCCAGCUGGACAGCAUUGCUGGUGGUGGUGUGGAGAUGCUAGACUAUUUGAUAAAUUGCCAAAGAAUGUAACAGGUCUUUGUGCUCUAGUGCUUUGUUGUUACCGGUAUCGGCACUUCCCAUGUCUGUACAAGAAUUAACAGCGAGGUUAUCCACUGUCAUGCCAGAACAUUGGCGACGUCAGAAAAGAGCAGCAGACUGGCAGGGCCAAAAUGAUCCAACAUACAUUGAUGCUGUUGGUGUUCUCCGUGGUGUUCCAAGUGAGUACAAAUUAGUAGAUCAAAUAGCUGCAGGAUUUGAGUCCUCGAUCUGUUGGUGGUUUACAACCAACAAAAACGUAGACAGAAUCAACUACAUCCAUUACAACGUGCAAACAUUGGGCAAUUGGACACAGAGUGGGUUUGAAGCUAUACAUGAACAGCUAUCAGCCACAUCACUUAUGGCAUUCCAAAACAGGAUAGCUGUUGACAUGUUGUUGGCUGAGAGAGGAGGACUAUGUGGUAUGUUCAGGAGAACAAUGCUGCACAUUCAUUCCCAACAACACAGCUACGGAUGGCAGUCUCACUGAGGCCAAAGAGGGACUCCGAACCCUUAAUGGUAAGAUGAAGGAACACUCUGGUGUUGACACCUCCAUGUGGGACUCCUGGAUGAAUGCCUUUGGAAAAUACAAAGCCGUGGUGUCCUCAAUUUUGGUAUCAAUCGCUGUUUUUGCAGCAAUUUUGACCUUGUGUGGAUGUUGUUGUAUUCCUUGUCUGCGUUCUCUCAUUAAUAGAUUGAUAACAACAGCAAUCUCACCCAUGGAGAACCGAAUGGCUCAAAUGUAUCCUUUACUUGGUCCUGACCCUGAAGAUAAUGACAGUGAUGAUGAUAAUGACAGUGAUGAUGAUAAUGACGUGCAUUAUGACCUGCCUGAUUUCUUUCUAGAUCCAGGUGACUAUGAAUAAAGAUUAACAUUGCCUCUGAGUGUAAAUGUAUUUGUUUUCAUAAAAAUGAUCAUACAGUCGAAAAUCUAACUGAAGUGACUGAUGUAAGGUGAUGUGAGAAUUUGAGUAAAUAUGUCAUAAACAGGAGGGAAAUUUUAGAAUAAAUGUACAUAAAUUAUCUCAUGUUUACUCUAAUCCUAUUGCAAAGCAUUCAUUCAGCAGUAUAAAGUUGAUUGUAUCAUGAAAGUUGAAGUUGUCUGUGAAGAGAACUGUGUCGUCAUCAAAAGAUAGCGGCUGGAACAUUUUGCGGUCGAAGGUUGAAACAAUCAGCGCUGAUGAAGAACACAUCUGCAUUAUCAU